ACCAGACCAGCUUCACCGGAGCUGUUGGCAAAUACAUCUAGUUCCUGUUGUGGCAGAAAAAACACGAGACAGUUAUCGGGGUUUUUCGCCGUAUUUUGACGCAGAGGAGGCACGCAGUUUAAUUUGGCAUGCACUCGGGACAAGUACAGAUCCGUUCUACGGUGUGCAUACGUUUACCUCAAUGAGUUGACUCGGUGGACCGGUCAGAACUCCCCCUACAAACCUGAC